rnacentral:tRNA from 1 species
UCCCUGAUAGCUCAGUCAGUAAAGAAUCUGCCUCCAAUGCAGGAGACCCUGGUUCAAUCCCUGGGUUGGGAA